rnacentral:misc_RNA from 1 species
UGGAACAUUCUGGCUUCUGCUUCUUUAAUUCGUACAAUGCUUUCUAAGCUCUCAAUUCCAUCUUUCUUUGAUGUCUUUCCAAACUGAAACUCAUCAUUGAUUUUCAAGUUGCCAAGGAGUGCAGCCUCGAGGUUAUUUCGGUGGUGAUCAUUUGAAAGUGAAUCACGCCGGCCACUUGAAGAGUUCAUAUUGUAGAAAGCGUAUUUUGGAGGAAGAGAAGUAGCUGGUGGUAAAGGUGCAUCAUCUUUUCUAAGACUAGCUUCAGUUGGCAUCAAUUCUUUUGCAGAUACACUGGAAGCAGGAAAAUCAGAAAUACUAUCUGCAUAGUUGAAGAACUGAAUAAUGAUGUUACAGGCAUCCGAAGGAAAUAAAAUUUUAUUCUCAAGCUUGGAGAGCAACUCCUCCGCUUUAACAUGCAACUCCUUGCCUUUAAAAUCAUCACUUCCUUUGAAAAUCUUCCUCACACAGUCAAGUUCUCUGACUAGGGUUUCUAGACCCCAAUCCUUUGCAC